rnacentral:lncRNA from 1 species
UCUGGCGCUGCUGUUCUGCCAACUCUUUUUCUCCCCGAAUUUAAGGCGCCGCGCGCGCGCGUCUGUAUGUGGUGGGUGGGGUAAAACGUGUUUGCCAUCGGGGCUGUUUGAAAUCCUUUAAGGAGCGGAAAGGUGAAUUGCAGGAACCUGCCGCUUUGCAGUGCUUUUGAGGCGGCGGCCCAAGGAUUCGCCGCGAAACUUUUACAGCUUGCGCCUUCCUCCAGCCCCGCGGCCGGGGCUCCAGACUGACCCACACCGGGGAGAAGCCUUCACCCUAGAGGACAGAGGGCUGGAAAGCGCCCGCUUCCCUUACACAGAUGGAAGGAAGACCAGGCGUGGGAGGCAGACCCGCCGCAAUUUCUAGCCUUUACGAAGUAUAAAACCCAAACCCCCAAAGGGAUUUUCGCUAGGUGGCCCCUCCCCCUUCCACGCCUCUGCUCCAGCGCCCGGGUCCAGCUGGGGAUUUGCCUGCACCUCUCUCGCCCCUUCCCGGGCGGGCAGAGUGACGGAUCCCAGCCCGGUGCUCACUCCCUCCCCCCACUCAGGAUCCAGCAGCUGUGAUGUCCUUGCUGUCGCCGCCUUCCCAGUCCGCCGCGCACCAGCUCCGGGGCUGCCCGCCACGCGCAGAUGCCCGCUCGCUCCUCGGCUCCAGGCUUCCCGGAGGGUCCUGCAGCCCCGGGCUAUGACUAAGGCGCGCACUUGAUCGCAGAGGUGGCGCGGAGCCGGCGAGCCGAUGACGGACCCCUUCCUCCCUUCUUCAAUGCCUCAGCGGAAGAUCCCCAAGGGCUGGCGAGAGGAGGGCUGCUGCUGGACACCCUCCCGGGGAGGCUGCUCCGACCUGCUGCUCGAGCUGUAUGAGACUGGGGACUGAGUGAGCCCCAGCCGUCGCCGCCGUCGGUCAGGCCCGGCCCCCGCCCGCUGCUCCC